GUGACGAAGCGACGCCGCGUGCGGGAAGAAGGCCUUCGGGUUGUAAACCGCUGUCGGGAGUUAGGAAAUGCAAGGAUGUUAAUAGCAUUCUUGCUUGACUAAGGCUCCGGAGGAAGCCACGGCUAACUCUGUGCCAGCAGCCGCGGUAAUACAGAGGCGGCAAGCGUUGUUCGGUAUUAUUGGGCGUAAAGAGCACGUAGGUGGUUUUGUAAGUCAGAUGUGAAAGCCUUCUGUUCAAAGGAAGAACGGCAUCUGAAACUGCAGAUCUUGAGUGUAGGAGGGGAGAGUGGAACUUCUGGUGGAGCGGUGAAAUGCGUAGAUAUCAGAAGGAACGUCGGCGGCGAAAGCGACUCUCUGGCCUAUUACUGACACUGAGUGUGCGAAAGUUAGGGGAGCAAACGGGAUUAGAUACCCCGGUAGUCCUAACUGUAAACGAU
rnacentral:rRNA from 1 species